GACUCUUCGCAGUGGAUCACUCUGCUCCAGCAUCUAUGAAGAAUGGUGUGAGAAUUAAUGUGAAUUACAGGAUGCAGUGAUCAUUCACACUUCCUUUGCCCUGGGGUUGUGGCCCUGGGGUUCCUCCAGCUGCUAGGCUUAUCUGAGUGUGG
ensembl:rRNA 5_8S_rRNA 5.8S ribosomal RNA